ACUCUGCUGGGAAGGCAGUUUCUGCCUCCAGAGUCUAAUGCAUUCCAGGCUGAAGACUGCACCCCCACCCCCACCCCGUCACAGGGUCGGGGAGGGGGGUGAAACCAGCCUUAGUGGAUCCGAGCAGCGAAAUAGAAUGGAGUGAAAAGAAGCUAUCAGAGUGCACCACACUUACUAAGGGCUUCUAGUCAUAAGGAGUUUACACGCAACUCUAUGUUUGCACGCAUUUCAGUAGCUUUGGAAGAGAGGAGUUUGUCAGCACUGGAAGGCGCUUGAGAAUUCUUUUCCUUUAAAGGUGGGAUAAUGACUUGGUGAAGCUUGUGUUCCAGUCGUAAAACUACUUGGAGAUUCAAACCGAAAUCUCAGAGAAGUGAAUGGCCUUGCCCAGAGUUACAGAGGCGUGAAGGUUAACAGCUGGGCCAAGACCAGAGACCAAAUCUCUGCCCUUCUACACCGCCCAACACUCGGAUACUGCUCUCUGCGACCAUCUUAACCUGUGUCCAUCAUUCAGCCCAUGGUAACAACUCAGAUACUUCUCAUGCAAACAGGCCACUGGCCGGAUGGGUGGGAAGAUGGGAUGGUUUGGGUCUUUUGAACUGUAGCACUCUUGGUUGACUUUCAGCAGCUGGGGGAACAUUUGGCUCUGAAUGUAUGAGAGGCUAUAGCUUUAUUAAAGAAAGCAAUACCAUUCAUCAAACUAAUGAUCAAUAACAAUUCUUUAAGCAAUACUGUAAGUACUUCAUGGAAUCAAGUUAUUCUUUAAAGUCAUCUUUAAUUUCUCACUGCAGGUGUUUGGAAACAUGAAUGGUUCAUAUUUAAUGUUUACAGUACAAAGGAGGCAUUAAGAACAACUUUUCUUUUUUGGCGAUGAGAGACUCCAGUCAUAAAUCCAUACAUAGUUUAUUCAUAAUAUGCAUUUUUCAUGAAUUUUUGAAGACCCCUCUUAUGCAUGGAUUUCAAUAUUUUUUGCACCAAAAAAACUUCUCUCUUAAUGCCAUUUUCCACAAGCUUUCUGACACAUGCUCGUGAAUAGCUGGGUUCGUGCACCUGUGUGCGGGAGCGGUUAGGAGAGAGGGAUCCUUCACCACCUGGUGACCCCUUCGCAUGCAUCCAGCUCCACCUCUCAGCAGCACCUCUACCUUCCCCCUGGGUCCCGCCUCUGCUCAUCUUCAAAACCCGCAGAGGCCCCCUAAACACUCUGGCUGCCUGCACCCUGCCCUUCCCCCAUCCACUCUCCCCUCCCUCACCCCUCCCCGGCAGCCAAUGGGCCUUCCAGCAGCUCCCAUGCACUCCCCAGGCAAAACCCACAGUGUCUCCCUGAUCUUAUUCUCUGCAACUCUCUCCUCCCUUGCUCUGUCCCUGCCACAACUGUGACUUGUUCCUUGGCUCAGCAAUUCGCUCUUGCUUUCUGUGGGGAAGGCCCCACCCCGGUGGCUAGUGGACUGCCUCCCUCCUUUGCUCCCUGCGCAUCCCUGCUCAGACACAUGCCAGCAUCCCUGACCAUCGUGGGGAAACAGUACCUCAGCCUUCCCCACACCCCUCACCUGCUGUGUGGUUUGGUUCCCGUGUGCUCAGCACACUGGUUUGCUACCCUGUGUCACCCACUGAAGUGCGGUCUCUGAGGUCAGGGGUUGGGGCUGGUUUGCUCUCUGCUCUGUCCUCAGCAUCUAGAAGAUGGCCUGGGAUGGAGCUGCUCACUCACCUUUCUCAAAUGAAUUUGUUUUCUUCCAUUUUUCUAUUUAAUCACUUUUAAAAUAAAGAUUGAUCUUUAUUUAUUUGAGAAGCAGAGUGACAAACAGAGAAGGAAAUCUCAAUCCACUGGUUCACUCCCUAAAUGGCCACAAUCACUGGGGCUUGGUCCAGGCCAAAUCCGGAAGCUGGGAGCCAGGAACUCCAUCUGUGUUGUCGCUCCCCGUCUUCGUGGAGGAACGACACAGGACCCUGCGUUGUUCUUGCGUCUGCUCGGCCCUCCCCGGGUUUGCUGCUGGUUCUUCCUGGGUUGGCUACCGACCCUUCCACCUCCGUGGAAGGGCGGUUCCCCCUGGCCACUUUCCCCACUUCCGCAGGGGAGCGGCACACCGCCGGCCGGCUCUCUCGGGGGCUGCACAGGUGUUCCCUCAGAUGUUCCCCUUAGAUGUUCCUGGUGCAUGUUGUCUCUCUCCUCCUUUAUAGUCCUCCUCCACCAAUCCCAACUUGGCUGCCCACACGCCGAGUACGCUGCUCUCCUCCAAUCAGGAGCAGGAUCAGCUCCUGGAGGUCAUCACUCAAGUUGGCAAGAGGCAGCUGCGUAGAAGCUGUUUUCUCCUCUCCCAGCGCCAUAUUGUGGGAGAGCAGAUGCAUAGAAUAAGUCUUAAUUCCAGUAACUCAGUCCAGUCCGGGUUGCUCCCC